GAUUUGUCUGGUUGAUUUCCGAUAACGAACGAGACUCAAGCCUCUAUUUAGUUCGCCCGUCGCUCAGACACAUAAUGAUUCGGGGCGUUGGUCGCCUUUCGGGGUGGUCGCGUCUCAAUUGAACAGAGCAUAGCGGGCGAAAGACUCGUCAUUCUUGGCGGGUCCAACUUCUUAGAGGGACAAAUGACAACAGUCAUGUGAAAUUGAGCAAUAACAGGUCUGUGAUGCCCUUAGAUGUCCGGGGCCGCACGCGCGCUACACUGAAAGAAUCAAUAAGCGAAUAUUCCCCGUCCGAGAGGAUCAGGGUAAUCAAGUGAGACUCUUUCGUGAUAGGGCUUGUGCAUUGCAAAUGCACAUAAACGAGGAAUUCCCAGUAAUCGCAAGUCAUGAACUUGCGCUGAUUGAGUCCCUGCCCUUUGUACACACCGCCCGUCGCUACUACCGAUUGGGCGUCUCAGUAAAGUAUUUGGAUUGGCAUCACUGGGCGCUACGGUGCCCAUAUGGACUGCCAAGAAGAAAGCUGAGCUGAGGCGUUUAGAGGAAGUAAAAGUCGUAACAGGGUUUCCGUAGGGU
rnacentral:rRNA from 1 species